UACGUAGGUGACCAGCGUUGUCCGGAUUUACUGGGCGUAAAGAGCGCGCAGGCGGUCGUUCAAGUCGCGUGUGAAAGCCCCCGGCUCAACUGGGGAGGGUCACGCGAUACUGAUCGACUCGAAGGCAGGAGAGGGAAGUGGAAUUCCCGGUGUAGUGGUGAAAUGCGUAGAUAUCGGGAGGAACACCAGUGGCGAAGGCGACUUCCUGGCCUGUUCUUGACGCUGAGGCGCGAAAGCGUGGGGAGCGAACAGG
rnacentral:rRNA from 1 species